UACAAGAGGCAGCUAAAAGAGUAUAG
rnacentral:piRNA from 1 species